UUUGAUCCUGCUCAGAUUAAGCCUGGCGGCAGGCUUAACCAAUCAAGUCGAGCGGGGGAAGUAACUUUCUACCGGACCUAGCGGCGGACGGGUGAGUAAUGCUUAGGAAUCUGCCUAUUAGUGGGGGACAACAUCUCGAAAGGGGAUGCUAAUACCGCAUACGUCCUACGGGAGAAAGCAGGGGAUCUUCGGACCUUGCGCUAAUAGAUGAGCCUAAGUCGGAUUAGCUAGUUGGUGGGGUAAAGGCCUACCAAGGCGACGAUCUGUAGCGGGUCUGAGAGGAUGAUCCGCCACACUGGGACUGAGACACGGCCCAGACUCCUACGGGAGGCAGCAGUGGGGAAUAUUGGACAAUGGGGGGAACCCUGAUCCAGCCAUGCCGCGUGUGUGAAGAAGGCCUUAUGGUUGUAAAGCACUUUAAGCGAGGAGGAGGCUACUUUAGUUAAUACCUAGAGAUAGUGGACGUUACUCGCAGAAUAAGCACCGC
rnacentral:rRNA from 1 species